CCGGGCAUGGAGCCGCCGGCCGCGCGCCCCUGAGCCCCGCGGCGUUCAUGGAAUAUGAAGACAAGGCUGGACGACCUAGCAAGCCACCCUCUCCAAAGCAGAAUGUGAGGAAGAAUCUUGAUUUUGAGCCACUGUCCACCACCGCACUCAUCCUGGAAGACAGACCAGCAAACCUCCCAGCGAAGCCAGCUGAAGAAGCUCAGAAACACAGGCAGCAGUAUGAAGAAAUGGUGGUUCAGGCCAAGAAACGAGGU